GACGAACGCUGGCGGCGUGCUUAACACAUGCAAGUCGAACGGAAAGGCCCUGCUUUUGUGGGGUGCUCGAGUGGCGAACGGGUGAGUAACACGUGAGUAACCUGCCCUUGACUUUGGGAUAACUUCAGGAAACUGGGGCUAAUACCGGAUAGGAGCUCCUGCUGCAUGGUGGGGGUUGGAAAGUUUCGGCGGUUGGGGAUGGACUCGCGGCUUAUCAGCUUGUUGGUGGGGUAGUGGCUUACCAAGGCUUUGACGGGUAGCCGGCCUGAGAGGGUGACCGGGCCAAAUGGGGCAGGAGACACGGCCCAGCUCCUUCGGGGGGGAAGCGGGGGGGAAAUUGGCCAAAGGGGGGGAAGCCUGAUGCGGCACCGCCGGGGGGGGGAGGACGGCCUUGGGGUUGAAAACCGUUUUCGCCUGUGACGAAGGGUGGGGGAGGGUAAUGGGAAAAGAAGCACCGGCUAACUACGG
rnacentral:rRNA from 1 species